rnacentral:rRNA from 1 species
UGGGGGAAUAUUGCACAAUGGGCGCAAGCCUGAUGCAGCAACGCCGCGUGAGGGAUGACGGCCUUCGGGUUGUAAACCUCUUUUAGCAGGGAAGAAGCGAAAGUGACGGUACCUGCAGAAAAAGCACCGGCUAACUACGUGCCAGCAGCCGCGGUAAUACGUAGGGUGCAAGCGUUGUCCGGAAUUAUUGGGGCGUAAAGAGCUCGUAGGCGGUCUGUCGCGUCUGCUGUGAAAUCCCGAGGCUCAACCUCGGGCCUGCAGUGGGUACGGGCAGACUAGAGUGCGGUAGGGGAGAAUGGAACUCCUGGUGUAGCGGUGGAAUGCGCAGAUAUCAGGAAGAACACCGAUGGCGAAGGCAGUUCUCUGGGCCGUAACUGACGCUGAGGAGCGAAAAGCGUGGGGAGCGAACAGGAUUAGAUACCCUGGUAGUCCACGCCGUAAAACGUUGGGCGCUAGAUGUGGGGACCAUUCCACGGUUUCCGUGUCGCAGCUAACGCAUUAAGCGCCCCGCCUGGGGAGUACGGCCGCAA